AGACAUCUCAACAAAAAUAAAGAAAGAUAAUUUCAAUCCUCGUCUCUCUUCUGAAAGUCCCACGAAAAUAGAAUACUUCACUUUCUUUUCAGGGCAACCAAACGUAUCUCGGUUAUUAAAAAGUCAUGUGCUGGCUUUCUCAUUUUGGGUAUCUCUAAUCAGGACGUUAUUGAUAUCCAUAAUUGCAGCGUUGAGGGUGUUACUAGAAUGGACAGACUUAAUGGUUCUGCAAGCCUCAUGAUAGUUUCAGACCUAGACUGUACAAUGGUAGAUCAUGAUGAUACUGAGAACCUCGCUCUUCUUAGAUUUAAUGCCUUGUGGGAAGCCUAUUAUCGUCACGAUUCCCUGCUGGUUUUCUCAACUGGAAGGUCACCUACUAUCUACAAACAGUUGAGGAAAGAGAAACCCUUGUUAACCCCUGACAUAACAGUGCUGUCUGUGGGAACUGAGAUUAUGUACGGUGAAUCAAUGAUACCAGAUAGCGACUGGGAACAGCUUCUUAAUAAAAAUUGGAACAGGAAUAUAGUUACUGAAGAAACAGCUAAGUAUCCUGAACUUAGUUUGCAGUCAGAAACGGAGCAAAGACCUCACAAGGUUAGCUUUUAUGUGGAGAAAGUUCAUGCUUUGAAAAUAACGAAGGCUCUAUCAGAAAGUCUGCAACAGCGUGGGCAAGAUGUGAAAAUCAUUUAUAGCGGUGGAAUAGCAUUGGAUGUAUUACCUCAAGGAGCUGGUAAAGGACAGGCUCUUGCAUAUCUGAUAAAGAAGUUCCAAACCUAUGGAAAACCCCCUCUUUGCACUCUUGUUUGUGGCGACUCUGGAAAUGAUGCCGAACUGUUUAGUGUUCCUAAAGUCUAUGGUGUGAUGGUCAGUAACGCACAGGAAGAGUUGUUGGAGUGGCAUGCAGAAAAUGCAAAGAGUAAUCCUAACAUUAUUCAUGCUUCAGAAAGAUGUGCUGCUGCGAUAAUACAAGCUAUUGGUUAUUUCCACCUAGGCCCAAGCAUAUCUCCAAGAGAUGUUUCAGACUUUUCAGAAUGCAAAGAGGGAAGUUUUAAUCCUGGUCAUGAGGUAGUGACGUUUUACUCGUUUUAUGAAAGAUGGAGGCGUGCAGAGGUCCAGAAGACUGAGCGGUCUAUGCAGAAACUUAGGCUUUCCUUUUAUCCAUUGGGCAUCAUUGUUCAUCCUUCUGGAUUUGAGCAACCACUUCAUCAGUACAUAGAUGGGGUGCAGAGGUCUUAUGGAGACAAGCAGGGAACACAAUUUCGAGUGUGGUUGGAUCGAGUUUCUUCAGCACAAAUUGGUGUAGAUAUAUGGCUGGUGAAGUUUGACAAGUGGGAGCUGUCCGGCGAGGAGCAGGAAUGCUGCCUGACCACAGUUUUACUUCGUUCAAAGCAGACGGAAGUACCAAAUGGGUUCAUAUGGAUGCACAUGCAUCAGACUUGGUUAGAUAAAUCAGGGUUGGAAGAUCGAACUGCUGAAUAGGUGAGCUGCGCAUUCCCCUGACCGGCUGACCAUAAGGGCUUGUUGUUUGAUGGGACUAAGGAGCUCCUCCAUGAAUGCAACCUCAAUCUGCCAUUGACAAAAAAUGGUGAUGACAAGUUGACAACGUUCAGGCAAUUAUUUACCUUAUUGGAAGGUGGAAUCAUGGUGCAAUGGAGACUCUCUGGCACAUUAUAGAGUUUGGUGCACCAGAUACACCGAGUAAAAAAUAAAAAAGAAUAACAGAGCAAGUAUCAAAUUGCAUUUGCAGGAUAUUAAGUUUGGAUUGAAUCGUGAAUUUGUGAUGACAGCUAAAGAGAAAUUAAGUGAAUGUCGUUUUUAAAUUUUAGGGUU